GAUGACUGUUGAUUUCUUAGGAGUAGGAGGAUCAAGACAAAGGAAUCUCCAUGAGCAGCAGAAACAAGAAAUGGAGUUUAGAGGAAUUGGUCAUCCAAGAAUUCAUCAAGGUUUGGGUCACUUUGAGCAACAAGCUGCAGCAGCUUUGGAGAAACCCAUGUGGGAUGUCUGAAAAAGAAAGCAAGAUUUCAUAAUUUCUACCUAGUCCUUCUAAUGAGUUCUCUCAUUACCCUUUUUUCCAAAACAAGAUUUUUGCUUUUCCUUUUUUUUUU
rnacentral:misc_RNA from 1 species